rnacentral:lncRNA from 1 species
CAGGCCCCUUCCCACGGUACUUCUGAAUGUACCCCGACCAACCGCCGAUAGCGCGAGUCUCCACUUUGGCACUAGGAGCGGUAUCAAAGAAGUGGGUGCUAUCGGCAGAAGAGACGUCUAGACCAGUGAGCAUAGCUACAUCGGCAAGAGUGGGAGAAACAGGGCUGUGGCCAAAGACGUAGGCAUUAAGGGUAUCUGACCAAAAAUAAGACGCAGCUAUCAACAGCGACUCGUUCUUGUGCAUAUCGGCAAUAGAUAGCCUGAUGCAUUGGGCUAGCUUCCUUUCACCCCACUGGACUUCAUUCGAAUUGCUGACUCUCAAGAACCAGUCUUUCCACCCUACGGUAGGGCUGGGCGAAGAGCGAAAGGUGUCUUUCCACAGAUCUAAAGAAAAAUUUUCGGUUCUAAAGGGAAUCCUGUUGGUUUCUGCAUUGAUAAGGUCAGUUGGAUCUGGAUCGCCUAGAGGGCCGAGACAUUGGAGGUGUGGUUGAUCGGUGGGGAUGACAAUUUUGUUGGACAAUUCCUAGUGUUUUGGGGAAUAAGAAAAAAAAUACAAAGAAAAAGGAAAAGAAAGAUAUUCAGUAAGAUGAAUCGCGGAUGAACAGGAAUGCGAGAAGAAUACAGGAGAUAAGAUGGAGAUCUGACCUCAGGGACGACGAAGCCGAUGGCCAUCUUGUCGUGAAGAGAACGUUUAAGGGCACCGGAGUUGAUGAAGAGGAGUGCUUGUCGGAGGUCUUGAAGGUUGUGAAUGGCGCCGCCGCUGGAAGUAGGGAUGGUGAAAUGAUGUGAUGGAGGAGUACCCGAGAAGGAACUAUUUAUAGGAUAAAACGGGCA